CAAGGGAGCUUGACUGCGAGACCUACAAGUCGAGCAGGGACGAAAGUCGGGCUUAGUGAUCCGGUGGUUCCGCAUGGAAGGGCCAUCGCUCAACGGAUAAAAGCUACCCCGGGGAUAACAGGCUUAGCUCCCCCAAGAGUCCACAUCGACGGGGAGGUUUGGCACCUCGAUGUCGGCUCAUCGCAUCCUGGGGCUGUAGUCGGUCCCAAGGGUUGGGCUGUUCGCCCAUUAAAGCGGUACGCGAGCUGGGUUCAGAACGUCGUGAGACAGUUCGGUCCCUAUCCGUCGCGGGCGCAGGAAAUUUG
rnacentral:rRNA from 1 species